ACAUGCAGUCGAGGGGCAGCAUCAUCAAAGCUUGCUUUGAUGGAUGGCGACCGGCGCACGGGUGAGUAACACGUAUCCAACCUGCCGACAACACUGGGAUAGCCUUUCGAAAGAAAGAUUAAUACCGGAUGGCAUAAUUAUUCCGCAUGGGAUAAUUAUUAAAGAAUUUCGGUUGUCGAUGGGGAUGCGUUCCAUUAGGCAGUUGGCGGGGUAACGGCCCACCAAACCUACGAUGGAUAGGGGUUCUGAGAGGAAGGUCCCCCACAUUGGAACUGAGACACGGUCCAAACUCCUACGGGAGGCAGCAGUGAGGAAUAUUGGUCAAUGGACGGGAGUCUGAACCAGCCAAGUAGCGUGAAGGAUGACUGCCCUAUGGGUCGUAAACUUCUUUUAUACGGGAGUAAAGUUAGCCACGUGUGGCUUUUUGUAUGUACCGUAUGAAUAAGGAUCGGCUAACUCCGUGCCAGCAGCCGCGGUAAUACGGAGGAUCCGAGCGUUAUCCGGAUUUAUUGGGUUUAAAGGGAGCGUAGGCGGGUUGUUAAGUCAGUUGUGAAAGUUUGCGGCUCAACCGUAAAAUUGCAGUUGAUACUGGCGACCUUGAGUGCAACAGAGGUAGGCGGAAUUCGUGGUGUAGCGGUGAAAUGCUUAGAUAUCACGAAGAACUCCGAUUGCGAAGGCAGCUUACUGGAUUGUAACUGACGCUGAUGCUCGAAAGUGUGGGUAUCAAACAGGAUUAGAUACCCUGGUAGUCCACACAGUAAACGAUGAAUACUCGCUGUUGGCGAUAUACGGUCAGCGGCCAAGCGAAAGCAUUAAGUAUUCCACCUGGGGAGUACGCCGGCACGGUGAAACUCAGAGGAAUUGACGGGGGCCCGCACAAGCGGAGGAACAUGUGGUUUAAUUCGAUGAUACGCG
rnacentral:rRNA from 1 species